AGGAGGCUCAUGGUUCUCACCCCCUUCCAUAGACUUAUGCAGUAAUUAUGACAACUUCCGGACGAUGUCCUCCAACCUAUCAGAGCUCUUGCAGCAUGAACUAACAUGUUGUCCACCCAAUCAAAGGAUCAGAGAAUGAAUCUAGUACUGAAAGCAUAAGCUACAGCUAGCUAGCACUGCAGUGCAUAAAAUGUGCUGAGUAGUUGACUCAAAGAGAGAGAAAGACAAUAGUUGAACAGUUUAGAACAAAUACAUUUCUUCAAAAAUGAAGGAGAAGAAAGAGAGCUGGAGAGUGAGAGCUAGCUAUAUUUUGUAUUUUUUAAAGUUUCACUUUCACUUACUUAACUAGCAAAUGCAGCUAGCUAGUUUAGCCUACUCAUACACCCGGCUCAAAAAGAGAGGGAUGCUAUGUUACCUAGCUGGUAAUGGCUAUCCAACACUGGAACUCUUCCAAGUCAAGGCCAACAAGAUGUUCAACCCGAUGACUGUAUAAAUAAAUGGACAAAGCCAUCGAUCACGUGACACCAUUCGUUCCUAUGUGAAGACUCAACAGCGCAUUGAAACCAAAUGAGGACCUGAGCCCUAGGACCAUGCCUCAGGACUACCUGACAUGAUGACUCCUUGCUGUCCCCAGUCCACCUGGCCGUGCUGCUGCUCCAUUUUCAACUGUUCUGCCUGCGGCUAUGGAACCCUGACCUGUUCACCGGACGUGCUACCUGUCCCAGACCUGCUGUUUUCAACUCUCUAGAGACAGCAGGAGCGGUAGAGAUACUCUCAAUGAUCGGCUAUGAAAAGCCAACUGACAUUUACUCUUGAGGUGUUGACUUGUUACACCCUCGACAACUGUGAAUAUUAUUAUUUGACCAUGCUGGUCAUUUAUGAACAUUUGAACAUCUUGGCCAUGUGCUGUUAUAAUCUCCACCCAGCACAGCCAGAAGAGGACUGGCCACCCCUCAUAGCCUCGUUCCUCUCUAGGUUUCUUCCUAGGUUUUGGCCUUUCUAGGGAGUUUUUCCUAGCCACCGUGCUUCUACACCUCCAUUGCUUGCUGUUUGGGGUUUUAGGCUGGGUUUCUGUACAGUACUUUGAGAUAUCAGCUGAUGUAAGAAGGGCUAUAUAAAUACAUUGAUUUGAUAACAAUCUAAUAUAUUGAAGAGAAAUUAGAAAAAUUGCAAUAAAACGGUGGUCCUUCUCCCUAAAUUUCAGCACUGCAUUUGAAAGAGCAGCCCCUUCUCUGCCUUACUCAAUCACCCACACAACUGACAAACACAACUGCAUCUCUCUCUUUCUCCAUAUCCCUCCUACCCUCCCUCACAUCACCUCCUCAUUGCGCUCUGCUUCUAUAAUUCAAAUUCUGUCAGCCUUGUUCCAGACUGCUGGCGCCAGCCUCUCUCUCCAAGACAAAAAAAAGAAGCGAGCAAGAGCGAGGGAGGGAGGGAGGGGGGAAAGGCAGAAGAAAAGAAAGCUGUGUGAGAGACAAAGCCGACGGAGCCACACACACAGCAAGAUGGAGCCGAGAAAGAAGUAGACAGGGAGUUUUGAUAAAGCCAGCUACGAGAUCUGAUUUUUCAGGGCCCAAUAUGCCUAUUUUCCGUUUUCUGCCUCCCAUUUCUCUCUUUUUCCACUCAUUUCCAUUCCUUUUGUUUUACUAAUUGUCUCUCCCUUUGACCUGCCCCCUCUGCUGCCUUCACUGGUUAAAAGCAAUAAAAUAUUAUCCCCC
rnacentral:lncRNA from 1 species